CUGAAAACGACGAUAUCCCAGAGGAGCCUGAAAAACUUAGUCCUGAAUCCAAGAUACUCGGCUCUAACAGAUCGGUUUGACUUCUAUCUUUUACCAGUUGGAAACCCUGAUGGUUAUGAGUAUAGUCAUACGACAGAUCGAAUGUGGAGAAAAAACAGAGCUUUUAAUCCUUUUACCCUGGGCUUAUGCAGGUUUAGAUAUAGGUCUAAGUCUAGGUCUAGGUCUAGGUCUAGAUCUAGGUCUA